rnacentral:tRNA from 1 species
AGCGGGUAACGAGAAUCGAACUCGCGACACCAGCUUGGGAAGCUGAAGUUUUACCACUAAACUAUACCCGC